CAGAACCACAGACAGACGGGGAGGAGGAACAACAACGAGAGGUCAAAUUAAACUGGGGAGAAAACCCAGUAAAAGCACAAUGGAUUAGUCGGUUUAAAACUAAUCCAUUUUCAUUUAAACAAAGUAUUAGCAUGAGCGUCUGCACCCUUUAAAGGUUGGCAUCUGUUGUUAGCGUGUUUGUCGAAGGUUGGCAUCUGUUGUUAGCUUGUUUGUCGAAGGUUGGCAUCUGUUGUUAGCGUGUUUGUCGAAGGUUGGCAUCUGUUGUUAGCGUGUUUGUCGAAGGUUGGCAUCUGUUGUUAGCGUGUUUGUCGAAGGUUGGCAUCUGUUGUUAGCGUGUUUGUCGAAGGUUGGCAUCUGUUGUUAGCGUGUUUGUCGAAGGUUGGCAUCUGUUGUUAGCGUGUUUGUCGAAGGUUGGCAUCUGUUGUUAGCGUGUUUGUCGAAGGUUGGCAUCUGUUGUUAGCGUGUUUGUCGAAGGUUGGCAUCUGUUGUUAGCGUGUUUGUCGAAGGUUGGCAUCUGUUGUUAGCGUGUUUGUCGAAGGUUGGCAUCUGUUGUUAGCGUGUUUGUCGAAGGUUGGCAUCUGUUGUUAGCGUGUUUGUCGAAGGUUGGCAUCUGUUGUUAGCGUGUUUGUCGAAGGUUGGCAUCUGUUGUUAGCGUGUUUGUCGAAGGUUGGCAUCUGUUGUUAGCGUGUUUGUCGAAGGUUGGCAUCUGUUAGUGUUUUUAUACCUUCUAGAGAACGGGUGGAAACACUUACAGUUGAAGUUGGACGUUAACAUACACCUUAGCCAAAUACAUUUAAAAACUCUGUUUUUUUAACAAUUCCUGACAUUUAAUCCUAUUAAAAAUUCCCUGUCUUAGGUCAGUUAGGAUCACUACCUUAUUUUAAGAAUGUGAAAUGUAGGAAUAAUAAUUAUUUCAGCUUUUAUGUCUCAUCACAUUCCCAGUGGGUCAGAAGUUUACAUACACUCAGUUAGUAUUUGGUAGCAUUGCCUUUAAAUAGUUUAACUUAGGUCAAACAUUUCAGGUAGCCUUCCACAAGCUUCCCACAAUAAGUUGGGUGAA